UCAAAAACAAAACACAAGUAUCAGUUCCUCAGAAAAAGGUUAGAUAGCAAAGAGCAUUCUAAGCAAGAAAUUAGAAACCAGAAUAUCAUAUAAGUUUGCCAAUUUAUGCGCUAUCUCAAGGUUCACUCCUCUCCAAAGGAUUCUUCCAAAUCACAGUGUUAUUAGCAUUUGAAAAAAUAUCUAUAUACAUAUAUGGCAGAACAUAGCAUAUGGCAGCCAAAUUUUUUUUUAAAUUAGGAAUUUUAUUAUUUUUCUCAUUUGGGUCAUUGGAUUGUAAUGUAGAGAGGGGGAAAAAAACGGAUAACUUCCAUGCUUAACACCCGCCUAUCAGGAAAAUUGUGGUGUUUUAAACCAUAGUUAUUAAAGGGGCAAGGUGCAUUAAGACGCAAAGAGGUCCUAGGGCCUAUGCGCAAGGUGCAGGCAUGUGCCUAAAUGAGGCGAGGCUAAAAAAAAUAAAAUUUAAUAAAAAAU
rnacentral:misc_RNA from 1 species